CGUCGGGUGCAAGCGUUGUCCGGAAUUAUUGGGCGUAAAGAGCUCGUAGGCGGUCUGUCGCGUCGGCUGUGAAAACCCGAGGCUCAACCUCGGGCCUGCAGUCGAUACGGGCAAACUAGAGUACUGCAGGGGAGACUGGAAUUCCUGGUGUAGCGGUGAAAUGCGCAGAUAUCAGGAGGAACACCGGUGGCGAAGGCGGGUCUCUGGGCAGUAACUGACGCUGAGGAGCGAAAGCGUGGGGAGCGAACGGG
rnacentral:rRNA from 1 species